rnacentral:rRNA from 1 species
UACGUAGGUGACAAGCGUUGUCCGGAUUUACUGGGCGUAAAGAGCGCGCAGGCGGUCGUUCAAGUCGAGUGUGAAAGCUCCCGGCUCAACUGGGGAGGGUCAUUCGAUACUGAUCGACUCGAAGGCAGGAGAGGGAAGUGGAAUUCCCGGUGUAGUGGUGAAAUGCGUAGAUAUCGGGAGGAACACCAGUGGCGAAGGCGACUUCCUGGCCUGUUCUUGACGCUGAGGCGCGAAAGCUAGGGGAGCAAACGGG